rnacentral:rRNA from 1 species
GAUGAACGCUGGCGGCGUGCCUAAUACGUGCAAGUCGAGCGAACGGACGAGAAGCUUGCUUUUCUGAUGUUAGCGGCGGACGGGUGAGUAACACGUGGAUAACCUACCUAUAAGACUGGGAUAACUUCGGGAAACCGGAGCUAAUACCGGAUAAUAUUUUGAACCGCAUGGUUCAAAAGUGAAAGACGGUCUUGCUGUCACUUAUAGAUGGAUCCGCGCUGCAUUAGCUAGUUGGUAAGGUAACGGCUUACCAAGGCAACGAUGCAUAGCCGACCUGAGAGGGUGAUCGGCCACACUGGAACUGAGACACGGUCCAGACUCCUAAGGGAGGCAGCAGUAGGGAAUCUUCCGCAAUGGGCGAAAGCAUGAUGGAGCAAAGCCGCGUGAGUGAUGAAGGUAUUCGGAUCGUAAAACUCUGUUAUUAGGGAAGAACAUAUGUGUAAGUAACUGUGCACAUCUUGACGGUACCUAAUCAGAAAGCCACGGCUAACUACGUG